GACGAACGCUGGCGGCGUGCUUAACACAUGCAAGUCGAACGGAAAGGCCCUGCUUUUGUGGGGUGCUCGAGCGGCGAACGGGUGAGUAACACGUGAGUAACCUGCCCUUGACUUUGGGAUAACUUCAGGAAACUGGGGCUAAUACCGGAUAGGAGCUCCUGCUGCAUGGUGGGGGUUGGAAAGUUUCGGCGGUUGGGGAUGGACUCGCGGCUUAUCAGCUUGUUGGUGGGGUAGUGGCUUACCAAGGCUUUGACGGGUAGCCGGCCUGGGAGGGUGACCGGCCACAUGGGGACUGAGAUACGGCCCAGACUCCUACGGGAGGCAGCAGUGGGGAAUAUUGCACAAUGGGCGGAAGCCUGAUGCAGCAACGCCGCGUGCGGGAUGACGGCCUUCGGGUUGUAAACCGCUUUCGCCUGUGACGAAGCGUGAGUGACGGUAAUGGGUAAAGAAGCACCGGCUAACUACGUG
rnacentral:rRNA from 1 species